UUUUCUACUUAUGUACAUUAUUAAUAUCAAAGGAUUACCUAGAUUCAAUUGGUGAUGCGUAAUUAAUAUCAAGACACACUGUUGGUAUGCCACAGUUGUGAAUUGGAUAGGGGAUAAGAGAAAGUUCAAAAUGUUAGGUUUUGGCUUCAUUCGUUUUAAAAGUUUAUCAAAAAUUUUCAGGAUCAAUAAAGUGCUUCCGAAUACUUAGCUUGUUAAAUUAGCUGGACAAAAAGAAAAUCAGGAAGAAAAUGUUAGCCAAAUGAUUAUUU